rnacentral:rRNA from 1 species
AUUGAAAGCUGGCGGCAGGCUUAACACAUUCAAGUCGAGCUAGCGGCGGACGGGUGAGUAAUUUCUGGGAAUCUGCCUGAUGGCGGGUGAUAUCUACUGGCAACGUUAGCUAAUAUCGCAUACCAUCAGAUGUGCCCAUAUGGGUUUAGCUAGUAGGUGGGGUAUGGGCUCACCUAGGCGACGAUCCCUAGCUGGUCUGAGAGGAUGACCAGCCACACUGGAACUGAGACACGGUCCAGACUCCUACGGGAGGCAGCAGUGGGGAAUAUGGCACAAUGGGCGAAAGCCUGAUGCAGCCAUGCCGCGUGUGUGAAGAAGGCCUUCGGGUUGUAAAGCACUUUCAGCGAGGAGGCAUUACUCGCAGAAGAAGCACCGGCUAACUCCGUGCCAGCAGCCGCGGUAAUAC